rnacentral:rRNA from 1 species
UACGGAGGGUGCAAGCGUUAUCCGGAUUCACUGGGUUAAAGGGUGGCGUAGGUGGAUUAGUAAGUCAGUGGUGAAAUCUCCGGGCUUAACCCGGAAACUGCCAUUGAUACUAUUAGUCUUGAAUACCGUGGAGGUCAGCGGAAUAAUGUCAUGUAGCGGUGAAAUGCUUAGAUAUGACAUAGAACACCAAUUGCGAAGGCAGCUGGCUACACG